AUUUACCCAGAAUGCUUUGUGCUGUAGUCCACUUCCUGCUUUUGGAGUGGUCUCCGGUCUGCUUGGCGUUCACAUAUGCAGAGUGUCUUCAGUCAGAGGCGUCUUCAUACCGCUGUAACACAGACUUCUACAGGAGAUCCUCAGUGUCAGUUAAAGCAAAGAUUAAUUUUCUUUUGGGAUUAAAGAAGCAUUUCUGGAUUUAGAUGAGGUAUUCCUGUUUGUGUUGCCAUGGUAACGUUUCUUAUUCUCUGUUAAUCCGUGGAAACUUUUCUGUCAAAUUAGUGAAAAAACGAGAAGUUUUUAAAAUCAGUCGAUGAAGAACGAACCCGCAGAACGGAUCUGGACCACGUCGGACCCCGGGACCAGCAUUUCAGAACCCGACAGGCCUGGACCUGUUCACACACACACACACACACACACACACACACACACACACACACACACACCUCUGCAUGUUUCAUGUCUGUUGGGAAUUUCCUCCUCGCGACACCCACAGCUAAUUACAAGGAAGCGCCGCUGCGUCACAGACAGACAAGGUGCAAAGUUUCAGCUCGGAGAUGAAAGCGUGGCGUUGGCGCCGGCGCCCACUCAGGCCCAGAAACACAGUUAACCCUUUGCUAACUGUGGCGCGCUACUGUUGGGUCAACGCAGCCGAUCAGCUGAUCGUCAGAACCGCUCAGUCAGCAGAAUGAAACGGAACAAAUCUUAAAGUCACAGUUCAGUUUCAGCCGAGGUGAUGCCGAGUCCGUAACCAUGACGACACAGCCUCCUGCUGUUAAUAGCGUUCUGGUUCCUGACCUCAUGUUUUUCACCGUCGAAGCUGCCUGUUUACAGAUGUGCAAUGCAUCAUGGGAUUUCAAUCUCUGGAAAGGUUCAAGCCUUCACUCCCAUCCCACUGGUGGGAUCCAUUCCUGGCCCGGUUUGGUUCUCCCAGGUCAGAGACAGAGGAAAGUGUCAAAGGUCUGAUCAGAUGAAUUUCUCCAUCUGAAUGACCUUUGACCUCUCCAGUAGAGCUGAUCUCAAUCUUUGAACCCGUUCAAGAGACAAAGAGGAGCGCGAUGCUUCGAUUCCCGUUUAUAUCAUGCAAAAACAGAGAAAUAUGCUAAGCUAGUUUACAAAACAAAAACUUUAAAAACGAUUAAAAGACAAUAGAUUACGGAGCUUAAAUGAGCUGAAAUAGUGAAAGUUUGGGGUAAAUCAGUGAAGGAUCAGUGUUCGCAUCACACAGCCGAAUGCGGCACAAAUCUGACUUUUUUGCUGCGAUCUUUUCACCCAAAGAAACUCCGAUCUGUUCCACUUCCAGAUGUGGAACUAAAUCUGAGUUUUCAAAGCGUCUGCAGUCUGAACGGUUUGAUAACAGAAAUACAAUUAUAUUUCACCAACCGUAGAUCAGUUCAUCCAGCCGAACAUGUUGGAGACAGAAAAUUCUGCCAAAGCCUGGAGGAACAUAAAGAAGGUCUCAACACAGCUAGCGAGUUAGCUAACGUUAGCAAGUUAGCUAAUGUCAGGUCAAGUUAAAGUUUAUUUCUGUAACACAUUUCCAACAGCCUCAGCACACACACAGCAUGACGGGCAGACAAAUGAUAAAUAAAAUUACAUUUAGUAAAAAUAAUAAGACAAAUAUAAAAUUGGCAGACAUACCAAAAGCUAGUAGUGUGAAUGAAAUCCAAACAAUAUUGAAUUUUAGCUGCAGCAAUUUGUUUCCAUCCUUUUCUCUUUAGCUGGUGUUGAGUGGCUGAGAAAAUAGAUGACAAUAGAUGCUAGCAAGUUAGCUAAUGCUAGAAAAUCACUGAAUGCAUUUGGAUUAUUUGUUGCCCAAGACAAAAAUAAUGCAGGAGUGUUUAUGUAAUAUCAAUCAAUGUGUUCCUUGAAUAGUAUUGUUUUAUUAUUAUUAUUUAUCAUAGUCAUUUAUUGUUUAGCAUCGUCGCAUUUUAUCCAUCUUACGUCAGAAUUCAGCAGCAGCAGAAGACAGACGGUGAAUCUAAACGUCUGAAAAUGACAAUAAUGAAGUGAUGAAAGCAGUCUGAGUCAGUGAACGCAUCACGCCCCAGCCCGCCACUCCUGGUCCGACUCCGCAUCCCAACAGAACCGGGUCAGAAGCUCCAGUCAAUGCUUCUGUUAGCUGUUAGCUUUUAUCGGCUUCCUGAUGAUCUGGUUACCAGGAACAGCUUUCAAACCAGCAGAACCUUAUUUUGGGACCCGCGGUUCGGUUCUGGUUCUGACCUGGGCGUGAGACGAAGCUGUGCUGCAGCUUCCAGUCAGAUUUCCUCAGAAACGCAGCAGAUGCUGCUGCAUGCUGGUGUUCUGGGUUUGGAGGAGGUGAUUUGUCUUUAUUUCAGUUUUAGUUUUAUUUUUUUAGCAGAAUUUAAGCUGUUUUCUGCAUUUCUCAUGCGGAGACAGCCGACUGCAGCUGCAGCGCCGGCCUGCUGCAGCUGUCGGGUAGCUGCGGCACGGCGUGUGAAGAGCUUCAGGCCAGGAAACCCUCAAACUGCAGCUCUCGCUCUGAUUCUAGGAACCGCGUUCAUCUGCUGCGACACGUCGAGUGGCCGACAGAACCAGGAAGAGGAAGUGGGCUUUGUUAUUGCAACAGUUGCAGGCAAAUAUCUGCAGCGGCACGGCUGGCUGUCACACAAACCGAAGGAACAGGAAGAGUUUGUUCUCACGUUUCAGUUAAACAGAGAUAACAUGAAAAUGAACAUCUGGAAGCAAACACUAAACAAAACAGCUAA